rnacentral:lncRNA from 1 species
AAAACAAGUCACUUAGGGUGUUUGGUGGUGAGAAAAAAAAGUGUGAAGAGGAAAAUAGAUAAGAGUGUGAAAAGAGAGAAAUGAGUGAGAAAUAUUAAAAUUUUGAUAGAUAAGAGAAAUAAAAUAGAAAGAAGUGUGUUGAACUUUUAAAAAACCAUAAUAUCCUUAUGCUAAAAACAUAUAAUUUUAUUAUACUUAGAAUUAUUUUUUUAAAGUUAGGUGAAUGUAGAUUAUUU